UACAGAGGCCCCAAGCGUUAGGCGGAAUCACUGGGCUUAAAGCGUGUGUAGGUGGAUGCCUAAGUACCUUGUGAAAUCCCACGGCUUAACCAUGGAAUUGCUUGGUAUACUGGGUGUCUUGAGCCACUCAGGGGCUACCGGAACAAACGGUGGAGCGGUGAAAUGCGUAGAUAUCGUUUGGAACGCCAAUGGUGAAAACAGGUAGCUGGGGGGUGUGCUGGACACUGAGACACGAAAGCCAGGGGAGCAAACGGG
rnacentral:rRNA from 1 species